rnacentral:rRNA from 1 species
GACGAACGCUGGCGGCGUGCUUAACACAUGCAAGUCGAACGGAAAGGCCUUGCUUUUGUGGGGUGCUCGAGUGGCGAACGGGUGAGUAACACGUGAGUAACCUGCCCUUUACUUUGGGAUAACUUCAGGAAACUGGGUCUAAUACCGGAUAGGAGCUCCUGCUGCAUGUUGGGGGUUGUAAAGUUUCGGCGGUUGGGGAUGGACUCGCGGCUUAUCAGCUUGUUGGUGGGGUAGUGGCUUACCAAGGCUUUGACGGGUAGCCGGCCUGAGAGGGUGACCGGCCACAUUGGGACUGAGAAACGGCCCAGACUCAUACGGGAGGCAGCAGUGGGGAAUAUUGCAAAAUGGGCGGAAGCCUGAUGCAGCAACGCCGCGUGCGGGAUGACGGCCUUCGGGUUGUAAACCGCUUUCGCCUGUGACGAAGCGUGAGUGACGGUAAUGGGUAAAGAAGCACCGGCUAACUACGUG